GACAGAGGAUGCAAGCGUUAUCCGGAAUGAUUGGGCGUAAAGCGUCUGUAGGUGGCUUUCUAAGUCUGCCGUUAAAUCCCAGAGCUUAACUCUGGUCAAGCGGUGGAAACUAGAAAGCUAGAGUACGGUAGGGGCAGAGGGAAUUUCCGGUGGAGCGGUGAAAUGCGUAGAGAUCGGAAAGGAACGCCGGUGGCGAAAGCGACGGGCUGGAUCUCUACUGACGCUGAGGCGCGAAAGCCAGGGGAGCAAACGGG
rnacentral:rRNA from 1 species